CAUUACCGAGUUUACAACUCCCAAACCCCUGUGAACAUACCACUUGUUGCCUCGGCGGAUCAGCCCGCUCCCGGUAAAACGGGACGGCCCGCCAGAGGACCCCUAAACUCUGUUUCUAUAUGUAACUUCUGAGUAAAACCAUAAAUAAAUCAAAACUUUCAACAACGGAUCUCUUGGUUCUGGCAUCGAUGAAGAACGCAGCAAAAUGCGAUAAGUAAUGUGAAUUGCAGAAUUCAGUGAAUCAUCGAAUCUUUGAACGCACAUUGCGCCCGCCAGUAUUCUGGCGGGCAUGCCUGUUCGAGCGUCAUUUCAACCCUCAAGCACAGCUUGGUGUUGGGACUCGCGUUAAUUCGCGUUCCCCAAAUUGAUUGGCGGUCACGUCGAGCUUCCAUAGCGUAGUAGUAAAACCCUCGUUACUGGUAAUCGUCGCGGCCACGCCGUUAAACCCCAACUUCUGAAUGUUGACCUCGGAUCAGGUAGGAAUACCCGCUGAACUUAAGCAUAUCA
rnacentral:rRNA from 1 species